UAAAGAUCUUAAAUCAGCAAGUUGAUGAAU
rnacentral:piRNA from 1 species